rnacentral:rRNA from 1 species
AGUGAACGCUGGCGGUAGGCCUAACACAUGCGAGUCGAACGGCAGCACAGUAAGAGCUUGCUCUUACGGGUGGCGAGUGGCGGACGGGUGAGGAAUACAUCGGAAUCUACUUUUUCGUGGGGGAUAACGUAGGGAAACUUACGCCAAUACCGCAUACGACCUACGGGUGAAAGCAGGGGAUCUUCGGACCUUGCGCGAUUGAAUGAGCCGAUGUCGGAUUAGCUAGUUGGCGGGGUAAAGGCCCACCAAGGCGACGAUCCGUAGCUGGUCUGAGAGGAUGAUCAGCCACACUGGAACUGAGACACGGUCCAGACUCCUACGGGAGGCAGCAGUGGGGAAUAUUGGACAAUGGGCGCAAGCCUGAUCCAGCCAUACCGCGUGGGUGAAGAAGGCCUUCGGGUUGUAAAGCCCUUUUGUUGGGAAAGAAAAGCAGCAGGUUAAUACCCCGCUGUUCUGACGGUACCCAAAGAAUAAGCACCGGCUAACUUCGU